rnacentral:lncRNA from 1 species
GAGGGCAUGCUGGCCGUCACGUGAGAGUGACGUAACCAUUUGCACAGUACGAAAGCUUUAAGAUACAAUUUAAAUUGAUACACCCGAAGGUGAGUCCUAAUUUUGUCCAAUCUGUCAGAACACCGUCGAAUUCCUCGUAGUCACCACACCUUUGUGAUUCCUGAACCUGGAGGGGCGCAAAACCAAAAUUGAGUGGGUCAGUAAAACAAUUCUUUUCCAAAUCCAAACAUUUCUCAAAACGUUGUAACCCCUCUCCGUAAAACCUGUAUACUUUCCCAGAAAUGUAAAAUAUAAAUAUACAUAUAUAUUCUCAAAACUUCAUUUUUACUAUCUCAACAUUAUCUCUUUAUCAAUCAUGCCAUGCCAUGUCAUCUCAACAUUUCUCAUAUUAAUUAUGCCAUGCCACACAUCAUCUCAACAGUAAUAAGGUAUGAAUGCAUCAACAUAAUCAUAUCAGGUGCAAGAAAGUAAUCAACCGUAGGCCCUCUAAUAGCCCUAUACGGUUGAACCUAGAGCUCAAAAAUCUAUCAUUAUCACUCUACCGGAGUCACCUCUGUGACCCGUCCGGCCUUCUCUGCACACAAGUUACGCUCUAGUGCUUCUCAUAAAUCAUCUGUGCACAUAAUCUAAGGUCACCCACCAGUCGGAAUCUCACUAACACUCUCGCGACUGGUCUGUCGUACCCACUCCGCGUGGACUGUACGACUAGCAUCUACUUGGAUCCAAGGCGAGCGUGCGAUGCGGUGAAUACUAUAAGCACUAAACCAUGGUGCAGGAUUUGAGCUCAAUAUAUAUCAUCAUCAUCAUAGCAGUAAUUAAAUACUCAUCUGUGCGUCCACCGCACCAUUUCAUACAUAUGCAUCAUAAAUCAAUUCUUACCUGUGCGUCCACCGCACCAAUUCAUACAUAUGCAUCAUAUAUUAAUUCAUGCAUGGCAUUUCAACUCACAUUUCUAUAUACUUUUCAUAUCAAUUCUAUGCAUGGUAUUUCACUUCCCGUUUUUCCACAUAACUCAUAUGCAUUUCAUUUUAAACAUAAUUUCAUGCAUUUUCAAUUUCUGGGAAAACGUUAAGUAUAUAUAUAUAUACGGAAAACAAAACUGCCCACUCACUUGGAGUUCGCCCUACAACUCCCUAGCACAAUACGCCAAGGCGUCAUGACGAUCGGCGCCUAAAACAAUAAUCAAUUCCAACCUCAGAAUUCAUAUCGAUAGAAUAUAUAACUUAUAUAAAAUACGUCACUACGUAGAUUGAUCCGGAAGAUCCACCCUCAGAUUUUAAAUCCAUAACUUCCAGAGGUUCACAUUAUACCUCUAGGACAACAAUCCUAAAAUUUCAUUACCAUCCAACGGUCGGAUCUCCGUCAAUUUCCAAAACUAAGUGACGGUUAACAUUUUUAUAUUAUGGACUUACAAUUCCAAUUCCGGAAGAUCCGUAACUCGGAUUCCCAAUCCGUAAGUUCCAAUAAUCCUCAAAUAUUAUGUAUUACAACGUAUCAAAGUUUGGUGACGAUCCAACGGUCGGAUCAUCAAUUUACAUUUUCACCUAAAUGUGAAAACUAUAAAACGUUAUUUGAACACCUAACCAACAAUCUUCAAUAACUUUCUCAUACGGUGUUCAAUUUAGGUAUAUGAAUAUAUCACAGUGAUCUACUCGACGUCACGGACGUCGACAUAUUUUUAAAAUAAUUUUAUUUUUAUUUUUUUAUUUUUACUGUAGCACCUUCUUCUUCCUUGGGUCGCCGGACUGGUUUUUCCGGCGGCCGUUUUCUGGGCAGUUUUUCAAAUUGCCAUAACUUUGUCAUUUCUCAACUAAAUCAAGUGAUUCAAAAACGAAAGUUGUAGCCCUUGAAGAGACAAAAGAGAAUGGUACCUUUCCCAACACCUAGUUCGCCGUAGUUUGGCCGGAAACUGCCUCGAAAGCCUCGGAGGUCGCCGGAAACUGGGUAUUUUUCAAAUGAGUAUAACUUCUUCAAUACUCAACGAAAUUGAGUGAAACAAAAAGGAAAGUUGUAGUACUUGACGAGAUGAAGAGAUUGAUACCUACCUCGACGCCUAACUCGCCGGGGAUUCGCCGGAAAAUUCCUCGAAAGCUCCGGCCAAACUUUGAACUUAUCGAUCUCCGUGUUCUUACGUCCAAAAACUUCCAACGAAGCACUCCGAGCUUCCUUGGAACCUCACUAAGCUCACUGUGAGCUUGGAUUGUCCUAAAAAAAAAAGUCAAUUCGAAGAUCAUGAACAGUGCACUUUCACGGGGAGUUUAGAAUCUAGGUUUUCCGAAGUAAAACUUACCUGAAAUUGGUGUCUACGUGAUCGUGGAGUCUCCAGGAGUUCGAUGGUGGUCUUAACUCCGUCGUUGGUGGAAGUUUAAGGUUGUUUUGUGGUUGGUUUGUUCGAACGGAGAAGAAGAGUGACAGAGAGAGAGAGAUUCAUGAGGGAGGAGAGAGAGAGACAGUAUGCAGAAAAUAGGGAGAGGAUUGAGGGGUGUGGGGAUCCCACGUGUCCAACUCAAUCCAAAUUGUUAAAUUUUCGCCCCUUAGUCCCGUUUAAGGGCAUUUUCGUCUUUUCAUGUCCUCGGAAUUAAAAUUCCGGGACGGGCUGUGACAAUCUUCCCUCCUUAUAGAAUUUCGUCCCCGAAAUUCCAGCAACCAACUAAAUCAACCAUACUCCAACAAUAGCUUCGGGUAAAUCUUUCUCAUCCGAUUCUCUUUCUCCCACAUACUUUUCUAC